rnacentral:rRNA from 1 species
CCUACGGGUGGCAGCAGUGGGGAAUAUUGCACAAUGGGGGAAACCCUGAUGCAGCGAAGCAGCGUGAAGGAUGAAGUAUUUAGGUAUGUAAACUUCUAUCUGCAGGGAGGAAAAUGACGGUACCUGACUAAGAAGCCACGGCUAAAUACGUGCAGGCAGCCGCGGUACUGCGUAGGGGGCAAGCGUUAUCCGGAUUUACUGGGUGUAAAGGGGGCGUAGACGGCAUGGUAGGUCUGAUGUGAAAACCCGGGGCGCGACCCCGGGACUGCAGUUGAAACUGGCAGGCUAGAGUGUCGGAGAGGCAAGUGGAAUUCGUAGUGUAGCGGUGAAAUGCAUAGAUAUUAGGAGGAACACCAGUUGCGAAGGCAGCUUGCUGGACGGUGACUGACGUUGAGGCUCGAAAGCGUGGGGAGCAAACAGGAUUAGAUACCCGAGUAGUC